rnacentral:rRNA from 1 species
UACGUAGGGGGCUAGCGUUGUCCGGAUUUAUUGGGCGUAAAGAGCGUGUAGGCGCCAGGUAGGUCUGCUGUGAAACUCGAGGCUCAACCUCGAGACGUCGGCGGAAACCAUCUGGCUAGAGUCCGGAAGAGGAGAGUGGAAUUCCUGGUGUAGCGGUGGAAUGCGCAGAUAUCCAGGAGGAACACCAAAUAGCGAAGGCAGCUCGCUGGGACGGU